UUCGCAAUGCCCGAAAGGGUGACGAAGCGACGCCGCGUGUGGGAAGAAGGCCUUCGGGUUGUAAACCACUGUCGGGAGUUAAGAAAUGCAAGGAUAUUAAUAGUGUCUUUGCUUGACUAAGGCUCCGGAGGAAGCCACGGCUAACUCUGUGCCAGCAGCCGCGGUAAUACAGAGGCGGCAAGCGUUGUUCGGAAUUAUUGGGCGUAAAGAGCACGUAGGCGGCUAUGUAAGUCGGUUGUGAAAGCCUUCCGCUCAACGGGAGAACAGCAUCCGAUACUGCAUGGCUUGAGUGCGGGAGGGGAGAGUGGAACUUCUGGUGGAGCGGUGAAAUGCGUAGAUAUCAGAAGGAACGCCGGCGGCGAAAGCGGCUCUCUGGCCCGUAACUGACGCUGAGUGUGCGAAAGCUAGGGGAGCAAACGGGAUUAGAUACCCCGGUAGUCCUAGCCGUAAAC
rnacentral:rRNA from 1 species